rfam:Triticum aestivum genome assembly, contig: Triticum_aestivum_CS42_TGACv1_scaffold_342411_4DL
CUGACCAAGCACUGUUAUAGCAAAAUGAUUAGCUUGAUCUCAGGGAUUACUGUAGCAUCAUUACACCGGGGUGUUACAAAAACCUGUCCUUAACAGGAUGGUACUGACUUUUAUACAGGUGAUGCAUGGCUGUCGUCAGUUCGUGUCGUGAGAUGUUUGGUUAAGUCCUAUAACGAGCGAGACCCUCGUUUUGUGUUGCUGAGACAUGCACCUAAGGAGAAAUUCCCACCGAGUGACGUGCCAGCGCUACUACUUGGUUUCAGCAAGAAUUUCACCAUUGGGAGCCGGUGCCUUUCGAAGCACUUUCACGUGUGAACCGAAGUCGUCUUGCCCAAGACCCACGGAGACCUACCUAUAGUGCUGUCAAAGUACCAGUGAGCAUGGAGGUUUGGUUGAAGUUGGUUACGAUGACGUCAAGUUGGCGACGGAGGAAGACUCGGCAUGAAGGCCAGAAAAUGGUGUGGAACGUAGUGGUAAUAGUACGCGCCCUGGUCCGAAACAAAGAAAAAGGUGCAUGCCGCAGUCAUGAGGGACUGCCAGCGAGAUACUGGAGGAACGUGGGGAUGACUUCAAGUCUGCAUGGCCCUUAUGGGUUGGGCCACAGACAUGCUACAAUGGCAAUGACAAUGGGAAGCAAGGCUGUAAGGCGGAGCGAAUCCGGAAAGAUUGCCUCAGUUCGGAUUGUUCUCUGCAACUCAGGAACAUGAAGAUGAAAUCGCUAGUAAUCGCGGAUUAGCAUGCCAUGGUGUAUAUGUACCCGG